rnacentral:rRNA from 1 species
GACGAACGCUGGCGGCGUGCCUAAUACAUGCAAGUAGAACGCACAGUUUAUACCGUAGCUUGCUACACCAUAGACUGUGAGUUGCGAACGGGUGAGUAACGCGUAGGUAACCUGCCUGGUAGCGGGGGAUAACUAUUGGAAACGAUUGCUAAUACCGCAUAAUAUUGAUUAUUGCAUGAUAAUUGAUUGAAAGAUGCUAUUGCAUCACUACCAGAUGGACCUGCGUUGUAUUAGCUAGUAGGUGAGGUAACGGCUCACCUAGGCGACGAUACAUAGCCGACCUGAGAGGGUGAUCGGCCACACUGGGACUGAGACACGGCCCAGACUCCUACGGGAGGCAGCAGUAGGGAAUCUUCGGCAAUGGACGAAAGUCUGACCGAGCAACGCCGCGUGAGUGAAGAAGGUUUUCGGAUCGUAAAGCUCUGUUGUAAGAGAAGAACGGGUGUGAGAGUGGAAAGUUCACACUGUGACGGUAGCUUACCAGAAAGGGACGGCUAACUACGUG